UGUUAAAAAUUUCAUACAUUUUUAUUGUUAAAAUUAACUUAGCUAACGAAAUAAUGUGCCACAUGUACCUCAUAUUGAUAUACAAUGACCAAUAUUUAAUAGUAAAAAUAGAUAAAAUUUUUAAUA
rfam:Gossypium arboreum cultivar AKA8401 contig_2865_3, whole genome shotgun sequence.